ACUCGCCUGGCCAACGCCCAUUGAUAGCAGACAGUCCCUAGUCCGCCCGACUUCUCCCGAGAAAAGGGUCAACAGAGGACGCCUUCCCCGAGGCCUCCUCCGGAACUCAGCCAGCAGAGACUCCGCAAAAAUGGAGGGACCCAAGAAGCUUGAAGAAAAGUGUGAAAAUUCUAUUACCUGGUCGGAACCCUGGAAACGGAAAGGGCAGCUACAGCCACUGCCCUUCUCCGCCACAACGUCUGCCUCAGUACCACUGACAUUGACACCGCCGCCAUCUUGCUGCAGGCAAACGCCAGGAUGAAAGGACGGAUCACCGCAAGGGACUAACUUCCUUCGUUCUCAAGCCAGUGCAAUCGCAAUGUUGCGAAAUUCUUUGGGAUUUUAUUUUCUUUUUAAUACUGGGGCUUAAAAAAAGAGGGGAAACGCUUAGUUUAAAUAAGUAAGAAGAAAAAUGUGCGGGAAGAAAUGCAGAAGUGCAUUAACUGUAAAUAUUACCACCAUAAAGUGUAAUCUUUACUGCUU
rnacentral:lncRNA from 1 species